rnacentral:rRNA from 1 species
UACUCAGUUCGGAUUGUAGUCUGCAACUCGACUACAUGAAGCUGGAAUCGCUAGUAAUCGCGGAUCAGAAUGCCGCGGUGAAUACGUUCCCGGGUCUUGUACACACCGCCCGUCGCACCAUGGGAGUCAGUAACGCCCGAAGUCAGUGACCCAACCGGAAGGAGGGAGCUGCCGAAGGCGGGACGGAUAACUGGGGUGAAGUCGUAACAAGGUAUC